UGAAUGCAUUAGGGUAAAAUGGUCAUUUUGCAUUAAUAGAUUUUUACUGGAUUGCACAGUUGAUUAUGUGCGAAAAUUCUGCCAUAAAUAGGGGGCAAUUCGGUCAUUUGGAUUUUGUUUCCAUUCUUGUGUUAGAGGGGCAAUAGAGUAAUUUAGAAAAGAAUAAAAACAUUGUAGCAACCCAUUACUGUAGUUAAACUAGCCUGUUCCUGUAGUUUUGCAGCCCAACACUAUUGAUUCUGUCUGACACUGUAGCACUCUGAUACUGUAGCAGCCCAGUACUGUUGAAGUGUACUGUAGCAACCCGACACUGUAGCAACCCGAGAAUUAAUAUCCAAAUUCUUCUCUUCCUUCUUCUUUCCUUCUCCUUCUUUGCUUCUCCAUGCCGGCCGAACCCUUAAAAAAAAAAAAAUCCCUAACUAUUUCCGGCGACCAAUUCCGGCGAACCAACACCAAAAAUUUACUCCCCACAUCCUCUUGAGUAAGGUGGCGAAGCAUCCUCCAAGGGGAAGGAAACCGCCAAUCAGUGUGCGCGUCUCCACGCGAGGCAACAUGUUCUGUUUUAGUGGUUUUGGUCGUCAUAGCGAGGCGAAGUGCUUGGCAAUUUGUAUCCCGAGUCAGGUUGUUUGUUUACUCUUAAUCAGGUUGCAUUGUAUGAGUGCAGUGGAUCCACUAGUGUUAUUAACUCUGUAAAUGUGAUUUGUAUAUCUUUCACUUUACUAUUGAUUUUUCGAGUGAAAGUUUUGUUUUUGGUACCUUUAUU